UCGAUUAUUGUGUGUGUGGUGUGCGAUCCAGUAAGUUUGCUAUUCGUUAUUGUCGGUCGUUCGUUGUUGGCGGUGUCACGCGUUUUCUGAGCGUUUCGAAGUUUUCAAUUGAAUAAAUUGUACGAAUUUGCAAAAUAAUUUGCAUUAUUUAUUGCCGAAAAGGAAAAAAACAACAAAAAAUAGCACGUAAAUUGUGUGUAAAAUAAUAACGUUUACUACAUACAUACAUACAUACCUAACCUACAUGAGCCUACACAUAUGCCUGUGGACCUGACUGUCUGCGGAUUAAUAAAACCUCAAUUAAGGCAAUAAUAUUUGCUUAAAACUACAUUCAAAUAAAAAACAAAUUCUGUGAGUCAAUGAAAAGUGCUUGACAAAAAGAUAAAAAAAAAACAACAACAACCACAGCGUUAUAGUUUUCAAUUAAAAAAGUGAGGAAGAAAGUACGUCGUGUAUAGUAGAAAGAAACCCAACCAUAGUGACACACAAAUACAAAGCAAAGCAAAAUAUAAAUAUUUUCUAAGCGGAUUAGCUGAGGAAAAAGUAAAAAAAACGCGCUCCACACUACAAAAACUACCAACUGUUGGGAUAAGGAACCUGAUUAGCUGACGGCUGUUUUUAUCAACUGAAUUCGUCUCGGACUUUUCAUCAUUAAAAAG